rnacentral:rRNA from 1 species
UACGGAGGAUGCGAGCGUUAUCCGGAUUUAUUGGGUUUAAAGGGUGCGUAGGCGGGCAUUUAAGCCGGCGGUCAAAUGUCGGGGCUCAACCCCGGCCUGCCGUCGGAACUGGGUGCCUUGAGUGGGCGAGAAGUAUGCGGAAUGCGUGGUGUAGCGGUGAAAUGCAUAGAUAUCACGCAGAACCCCGAUUGCGAAGGCAGCAUACCGGCGCCCUACUGACGCUGAGGCACGGAAGUGCGGGUAUCGAACAGG